rnacentral:rRNA from 1 species
AUGAACGCUGGCGGCGUGCCUAAUACAUGCCAGUCGAGCGAACAGACGAGGAGCUUGCUCCUCUGACGUUAGCGGCGGACGGGUGAGUAACACGUGGAUAACCUACCUAUAAGACUGGGAUAACUUCGGGAAACCGGAGCUAAUACCGGAUAAUAUAUUGAACCGCAUGGUUCAAUAGUGAAAGACGGUUUUGCUGUCACUUAUAGAUGGAUCCGCGCCGCAUUAGCUAGUUGGUAAGGUAACGGCUUACCAAGGCAACGAUGCGUAGCCGACCUGAGAGGGUGAUCGGCCACACUGGAACUGAGACACGGUCCAGACUCCUACGGGAGGCAGCAGUAGGGAAUCUUCCGCAAUGGGCGAAAGCCUGACGGAGCAACGCCGCGUGAGUGAUGAAGGUCUUCGGAUCGUAAAACUCUGUUAGUAGGGAAGAACAAAUGUGUAAGUAACUAUGCACGUCUUGACGGUACCUAAUCAGAAAGCCACGGCUAACUACGUG